rnacentral:tRNA from 1 species
UCCCUGAUGGUCUAGUGGUCAGGAUUCGGCGCUCUCACCGCCACGGCCCGGGUUCCAUACCCGGUCAGGGAA